rnacentral:rRNA from 1 species
ACGGGUGAGUAACACGUGGAUAACCUACCUAUAAGACUGGGAUAACUUCGGGAAACCGGAGCUAAUACCGGAUAAUAUAUUGAACCGCAUGGUUCAAUAGUGAAAGACGGUUUUGCUGUCACUUAUAGAUGGACCCGCGCCGCAUUAGCUAGUUGGUAAGGUAACGGCUUACCAAGGCAACGAUGCGUAGCCGACCUGAGAGGGUGAUCGGCCACACUGGAACUGAGACACGGUCCAG